UACAGAGGGUGCGAGCGUUAAUCGGAAUUAUUGGGCGUAAAGCGCACGUAGGUGGUUUAUUAAGUCAGAUGUGAAAGCCCCGGGCUUAACCUGGGAAUGGCAUUUGAUACUGGUAGACUUGAGUUUGGUAGAGGAAAGCGGAAUUCCCGGUGUAGCGGUGAAAUGCGUAGAUAUCGAGAGGAACACCAGUGGCGAAGGCGACUACCUGGCCUGUUCUUGACGCUGAGGCGCGAAAGCUAGGGGAGCAAACGGG
rnacentral:rRNA from 1 species